rnacentral:rRNA from 4 species
AGAGUUUGAUCCUGGCUCAGGACGAACGCUGGCGGCGUGCCUAAUACAUGCAAGUAGAACGCUGAAGACUUUAGCUUGCUAGAGUUGGAAGAGUUGCGAACGGGUGAGUAACGCGUAGGUAACCUGCCUACUAGCGGGGGAUAACUAUUGGAAACGAUAGCUAAUACCGCAUAACAGUGUUUAACACAUGUUAGAUGCUUGAAAGAUGCAAUUGCAUCACUAGUAGAUGGACCUGCGUUGUAUUAGCUAGUUGGUGGGGUAACGGCCUACCAAGGCGACGAUACAUAGCCGACCUGAGAGGGUGAUCGGCCACACUGGGACUGAGACACGGCCCAGACUCUACGGGAGGCAGCAGUAGGGAAUCUUCGGCAAUGGGGGCAACCCUGACCGAGCAACGCCGCGUGAGUGAAGAAGGUUUUCGGAUCGUAAAGCUCUGUUGUAAGAGAAGAACGUGUGUGAGAGUGGAAAGUUCACACAGUGACGGUAACUUACCAGAAAGGGACGGCUAACUACGUGCCAGCAGCCGCGGUAAU